rnacentral:rRNA from 1 species
AGUGAACGCUGGCGGUAGGCCUAACACAUGCAAGUCGAACGGCAGCACAGGAGAGCUUGCUCUCUGGGUGGCGAGUGGCGGACGGGUGAGGAAUACAUCGGAAUCUGCCCAGUCGUGGGGGAUAACGUAGGGAAACUUACGCUAAUACCGCAUACGACCUUCGGGUGAAAGAGGGGGAUCGCAAGACCUCUCGCGAUUGGAUGAGCCGAUGUCGGAUUAGCUAGUUGGCGGGGUAAUGGCCCACCAAGGCGACGAUCCGUAGCUGGUCUGAGAGGAUGAUCAGCCACACUGGAACUGAGACACGGUCCAGACUCCUACGGGAGGCAGCAGUGGGGAAUAUUGGACAAUGGGCGCAAGCCUGAUCCAGCCAUACCGCGUGGGUGAAGAAGGCCUUCGGGUUGUAAAGCCCUUUUGUUGGGAAAGAAAUCUUUCAGGCUAAUACCCUGGGAGGAUGACGGUACCCAAAGAAAAAGCACCGGCUAACUUCGUG